UGCGUAGGUGGUGAUGCAAGUCUGGUGUGAAAUCUCGGGCUCAACCUGGGGGCUGCGUUUAAUACAUGUUCGCUUGAGUUCGGAAGAGGGUCGUGGAAUUCCCAGUGUAGAGGUGAAAUUCGUAGAUAUUGGGAAGAACACCGGUGGCGAAGGCGGCGACCUGGUCCGAUACUGACGCUGAGGCGCGAAAGCGUGGGGAGCAAACA
rnacentral:rRNA from 1 species